rnacentral:rRNA from 1 species
GUGUCAGCAGCCGCGGUAAUACGGAGGGUGCAAACGUUGCUCGGAAUCAUUGGGCGUAAAGCGCACGUAGGCGGUCUGUUAAGUCGGGUGUGAAAGCCCUCGGCUCAACCGAGGAAGUGCAUUCGAAACUGGCAGGCUGGAGUACUGGAGAGGAUGACGGAAUUCCCGGUGUAGAGGUGAAAUUCGUAGAUAUCGGGAGGAACACCAGUGGCGAAGGCGGUCAUCUGGACAGAUACUGACGCUGAGGUGCGAAAGCGUGGGGAGCAAACAGGAUUAGAUACCCCCGUAGUCC